rnacentral:tRNA from 1 species
CGGCGCUGGCGGGCGGCACCGAGGUGCUCUGGAACGGCGUCCUGAACAAGAUCGUCAUUCCGAUGUUCCUGUCGCCGGUCGUCGGC